UACGUAGACAGCAAGCGUUGUUCGGAGUUACUGGGCGUAAAGGGUGCGUAGGCGGCUUCUUAAGUCUGGUGUGAAAUCUCCCGGCUCAACUGGGAGGGUGCGCCGGAUACUGAGGGGCUAGAGUGUGGGAGAGGAAAGUGGAAUUCCUGGUGUAGCGGUGAAAUGCGUAGAUAUCAGGAGGAACACCGGUGGUGUAAACGGCUUUCUGGACCAUAACUGACGCUGAGGCACGAAAGCGUGGGUAGCAAACAGG
rnacentral:rRNA from 1 species